GUGAGGAAUAUUGGACAAUGGGCGCAAGCCUGAUCCAGCCAUGCCGCGUGCAGGAAGACGCAUCUAUGGUGUGUAAACUGCUUUUGUACGGGAAGAAACACUCCCUCGUGAGGGAGCUUGACGGUACCGUAAGAAUAAGGAUCGGCUAACUCCGUGCCAGCAGCCGCGGUAAUACGGAGGAUCCAAGCGUUAUCCGGAAGCAUUGGGUUUAAAGGGUCCGUAGGCGGGUUAAUAAGCCAGUGGUGAAAGCCCAUCGCUCAACGAUGGAACGGCCAUUGAUACUGUUAGACUUGAAUUACAAGGAAGUAACUAGAAUAUGUAGUGUAGCGGUGAAAUGCUUAGAUAUUACAUGGAAUACCAAUUGCGAAGGCAGGUUACUACUUGUGGAUUGACGCUGAUGGACGAAAGCGUGGGGAGCGAACAGGAUUAGAAACCCCGGUAGUCC
rnacentral:rRNA from 1 species